CCUGAAAGAUGAUCAGGUUGAUAGGUCUGAGGUGGAAGCGUGGUGACACGUGGAGCUGACAGAUACUAAUAGAUCGAGGACUUAACCUA
rnacentral:rRNA from 1 species